UGGAGCAUGUGGUUAAUUUCGAUGCAACGCGAAGAACCUUACCUGGUCUUGACAUCCCGGAGACCCUUAGGAAACUAGGGGUGCUUCCAUCUGGAGAAUCUGGAGACAGGUGCUGCAUGGCUGUCGUCAGCUCGUGUCGUGAGAUGUUGGGUUAAGUCCCGCAACGAGCGCAACCCUUGCCUUUAGUUGCCAGCAGUUCGGCUGGGCACUCUAAAGGGACUGCCGGUGUUAAACCGGAGGAAGGUGGGGAUGACGUCAAGUCCUCAUGGCCUUUAUGACCAGGGCUACACACGUACUACAAUGGCCGAUACAAAGGGCAGCGACACUGCGAGGUGAAGCCAAUCCCGUAAAAUCGGUCUCAGUCCGGAUUGGAGUCUGCAACUCGACUCCAUGAAGUUGGAAUCGCUAGUAAUCGUGGAAUCAGCAUGCCACGGUGAAUACGUUCCCGGGCCUU
rnacentral:rRNA from 1 species